rnacentral:rRNA from 1 species
UACGGAGGGUGCAAGCAUUGAUCGGAUUUAUUGGGCGUAAAGGGCGCGUAGGCGGAAGUAUAAGUCAGACGUGAAAUCCCGGGGCUCAACCUCGGAACUGCAUUUGAUACUAUACAUCUAGAGGGUAGGCGGAGAAAACGGAAUUCCACAAGUAGCGGUGAAAUGCGUAGAUAUGUGGAAGAACACCAGUGGCGAAGGCGGUUUUCUGGCUUAUUCCUGACGCUGAUGCGCGAAAGCGAGGGGAGCAAACAGG